rnacentral:rRNA from 1 species
UACGUAGGGGGCGAGCGUUGUCCGGAAUUAUUGGGCGGAAAGAGCUCGUAGGCGGUUCGGCAAGUCACGUGUGAAAUCUCCACGCUCAACGUGGAGGCGCCACGUGAGACUGCUGUGACUCGAGUCCGGUAGGGGAGCGUGGAAUUCCUGGUGUAGCGGUGAAAUGCGCAGAUAUCAGGAAGAACACCCGUGGCGAAGGCGGCUCUCUGGGACGGUACUGACGCUGAGACGCGAAAGCGUGGGGAGCGAACAGG